GAGAGUUUUAACUCAAGUCCAGUCUCCAAACAAGGAAUAUUCUUGUUUACUUUAAAAAUGGAAACAACAUAUAGUUCCAUUAUAAUUGUUAAAAAGUUAGCUUUACAACCAUGGGAUAUUUUUUUUUAAAUGGAGCUGCCCACCCGAACAUUACCCCAUAACUAUAUUGCUAUAAUUACGAUUUUUGCCAUGUCUUUAUGUACAGUCUCCUUCACUGCCUUAUUCUUUUCUUCUCCUUAGACAAGCCCUCAAACGCUCAUGUUACUCCAGAGGAAACACUUCAGAGGCACUGUG
rnacentral:lncRNA from 1 species